AGUCCAGAGAGCCAUCUAGCCCCUUGUGCCCAGGCUGGCUCAGUCCUUCAGGGGAGAGAGCCUAAGGCGAGUCGGAACUCUCUCAGGCUGCUUGCUCCUGCCUUGGGGAGAGAAGCUGUGGAAAAGGCUAGAGCAGGGCAGCUUGGCUGAUCCCCAGGGUGAGGAGAAAGAUGGUGAGAUAACGGUGACAGGACUCCUGAUGCAUCAGCCUCCUCAACCUGUGAAUUUGAUAUUUGGUCUCAGUUUGGACUGGAGCAGUGAUCGAAAGAAGGAUGUCCCCUGCCUCAACAGAUCAUGCAUCUGGCAAGAAACAGCGACAUCAAAUGCAGGUGACAAAUUGCCUUAAGGUCGACAGAGGCGAAGGCAGUGAGCUGAGACCCACAUCCUCUUCCUGAACCUGGCUGGCCCUUUGUGAAUGCCUCGACACGUGGACUGUGGUGGAAGUGACAUGAUGUGCCUUCUGAGCUCAGAGCUGGCUGACAUCUGCAGGCUGAACCAUCCUGUCCACUUGGUUCUUUGCUGUCUCUUCUGCAGUGGAUGCUUUCUGAUGAGUGUUAGCUUAUAAUACUGAGAUCCUCACCCUCUGUGAUCCCUCUCCUGUGUCGACAGACGUAGCUCUUCCCCUGCUCCUCCAAUCUUUCUUCCUCCAAGCCCUUAACCAAGCAAGAUCUAAUGAUGAAUUGAUGCUGGGCCCACCAUUGACCUGCAGCUUGGUGAGCCUGAAAGUCUAGCAGGUGAUGGGAAGUUCUGGCAGUAAGGUCAGACCACUUAAUAUCCCCUUUUCAGACACUCUACAAGGGAUCAGCAGCAGUCCAGGAGACCCUCUUUUUUUUUCUUUCUUUCUUUCUUUUUUUUUUUUUUUGAUUUUUAGGGCCACUCCUGCGGCAUAUGGAAGUUCUCAGGCUAGGGGUUGAAUUGGAGCUACAGCUGCCAGCCUACACCACAGCCACAGCAACAUCAGAUCCGAGCCUCGUCUGCGACCUAUACCACAGCUCACAGCAAAGCCAGAUCCUUAAUCCACUGAGCGAAGCCAGGGAUCAAACCCACAACCUCAUGGUUCCUAGUUGGAUUCUGCUGCACCAUGAUGGGAACUCCCAGGAGCCCUUUUUAAGUUCUCUUCUGUGGAUGGCAUUGCCUUUCUCUGGCACUAUAGGGUCUGCACUGAAACUCUUCUGCUCUACACAACCUCUUUCACCAUCACAAAUACCUUUAGUACCACAGAUUCUGCCAAGUGAUGUGGUCCAAGCGAGGCUGCUUAGACAACAGUCCAAAUCUAAAUCUUCUGCAGACCUGUCUUGCUCUAGGCCCCUUAAAACUGGUAGAUUUCUGUGUUACUCAAUAAAUGGGUCAAAGUAGUAUUCCCAA
rnacentral:lncRNA from 1 species